rnacentral:rRNA from 1 species
UACGGGGGGAGCAAGCGUUGUUCGGAUUUACUGGGCGUAAAGGGCGCGUAGGCGGCCACCGCAAGUCAAUUGUGAAAUCUCCGGGCUUAACUCGGAAAGGUCAACUGAUACUGCGGGGCUAGAGUGCGGAAGGGGCAACUGGAAUUCUCGGUGUAGCGGUGAAAUGCGUAGAGAUCGGGUGGAACACCAGUGGCGAAGGCGCCUAUCUGGCUGACAACUGACGCUGAGACUCGAAAGCAUGGGGAGCAAACAGG